UACAGAGGGGGCAAGCGUUAUUCGGAAUUAUUGGGCGUAAAGGGCGCGUAGGCGGCCUGGCAAGUGACGGGUGAAACCCCUCGGCUUAACCGAGGAACUGCCUGUCAGACUGUUAGGCUUGAGACCGGGGAGAGGUGAGUGGAAUUCCCAGUGUAGCGGUGAAAUGCGUAGAUAUUGGGAGGAACACCAGUGGCGAAGGCGGCUCACUGGACCGGUACUGACGCUGAGGCACGAAAGCGUGGGGAGCAAACAGGG
rnacentral:rRNA from 1 species